AAAGUCGUAACAAGGUAACCGUAGGUGAACCUGCGGUUGGAUCAUUAACAAAAUGAUAAAAGCUUGGGCCCUAAAAAAGCCCGGCUUUUAUAAACACCUGUGAACUGUAAUUGUCUCUGGUGGGUUAAAAUUGGGAUUUUAAUUAUAUCCCUUGGUUUUUCAUUAAACCACCCACUGUAAAUUAUUAACUUGUAUAAUCUUGAAUUAGUUUUUGAAUUUAAAUAAAAUUUAUAAACAACUUUUGACAACGGAUCUCUAGGCUCUC
rnacentral:misc_RNA from 1 species